rnacentral:rRNA from 1 species
CCUACGGGUGGCAGCAGUGAGGAAUAUUGGUCAAUGGCCGAGAGGCUGAACCAGCCAAGUCGCGUGAGGGAAGACGGCCCUACGGGUUGUAAACCUCUUUUGUCGGGGAGCAAAGCGAACCACGUGUGGUUCAUUGCGAGUACCCGAAGAAAAAGCAUCGGCUAACUCCGUGCCAGCAGCCGCGGUAAUACGGAAGGUCCGGGCGUUAUCCGGAUUUAUUGGGUUUAAAGGGAGCGUAGGCCGCAUGUCAAGCGUGCUGUGAAAUGUCCGGGCUCAACCAGGGCCUUGCAGCGCGAACUGGCGGGCUUGAGUCCGCGGAAGGCAGGCGGAAUUCGUGGUGUAGCGGUGAAAUGCUUAGAUAUGACGAAGAACCCCGAUUGCGAAGGCAGCUUGCUGCAGCGGAACUGACGCUGAUGCUCGAAAGCGCGGGUAUCGAACAGGAUUAGAUACCCGUGUAGUC